GACGAACGCUGGCGGCGUGCUUAACACAUGCAAGUCGAACGGUAAACCUCUGCGUUUGUGGUGUGUUCGAGAGGCGUGAGUGAGAGUAACACGACCUUCCCCCGCCCUUGGCUUAAGUCUAACUUCUGGGAGCUAAUGCUAGUACCUCAUCGGUGCCCCCACUGCAUGGUGUGAAAUGGAAUUUCUGGUCGGUUGGGGAUGGCCUCGCGGCAUAUCAGCUUGUUGGUGGGGUAGUGGCAUACCAAGGCUGUGACGGGUAGCCGGCCUGAGAGGGUGACCGGCCACACUGGGACUGAGACACGGCCCAGACUCCUACGGGAGGCAGCAGUGGGGAAUAUUGCACAAUGGGCGGAAGCCUGAUGCAGCGACGCCGCGUGCGGGAUGACGGCCUUCGGGUUGUAAACCGCUUUCGGCAGGGACGAAGCGUGAGUGACGGUAAUUGGAGAAGAAGCACCGGCUAACUACGUG
rnacentral:rRNA from 1 species